UACAGAGGUCUCGAGCGUUGUUCGGAUUCAUUGGGCGUAAAGGGUGCGUAGGUGGCAGGGUAAGUCGGAUGUGAAAUCCCGGGGCUCAACCUCGGAACUGCAUUCGAUACUGCUUUGCUUGAGUACUGGAGAGGAGAUUGGAAUUUACGGUGUAGCAGUGAAAUGCGUAGAUAUCGUAAGGAAGACCAGUGGCGAAGGCGGAUCUCUGGACAGUUACUGACACUGAGGCACGAAGGCCAGGGGAGCGAACGGG
rnacentral:rRNA from 1 species